UCUGGGCCGAGGAGAACAACCAGGUCUAUGGGUCUAUGUACUGCUGGUGCCAAACAAUAAGAAAAACCAACAAAACACUGACGUUGGUCCACAGACAACACCCGCGUCCAUGUGGUGGGUGGGCUGGCUCCGUCAGAGGAUAAGAGGAGAAGCGGUUGGCACAGGGCCUGGAGAUGGGGACCAGCCAGGCAUGCAGGGGACACUGCCUCUUCUCCAUCUAACAACAAGCCUGCGUGUGCCCAGCUCCCUCCGGUACAUGCCUCGCUCCACAUCCUUAGAAUUGAUCAAUUGAAAAUAAGACCUUGGAAGCACCCCUUGUGAAGCUGACACUGUACAAGCCAAGGCAGCGGCCCCAGAGAGGGUCAGUGAGGGGCCUCUGCUGUCUGAGUCCGCUCCUGGCAACGCCUGCUCUCUGCACUCGGAGGCCCGGUCCCGGCAGCUGCCACGUUGCUCAGAAGUUCUGGCAGGGGGAGCCUGAAACCCCUGUCUGCUGGCGACACUCCCGGAGCUGCAGGAAAUCUCUACAUUUUAUUUUUUUUUCUUAACAGACAAAAGUAUUUGACUCCAGAAUGAUUUCCAGGAAUUACAGUAUGAGAACUUAGUCCUUGAGAUUUUUAUUUUCUUCUUAAAAAAAUGAAAAUGAAAUCAAAGCA